rnacentral:tRNA from 1 species
UGGGGAGUGGUGUAACGGUAACACACUUGCCUUUGGAGCAAGGUACUCUAGGUUCGAAUCCUAGCUCCCCAA